rnacentral:lncRNA from 1 species
CUCGAAUAUAAAUGAAAGACAAAAAAGAAUUCAAGUAAACAAAAAUAAAAUUUCAAUAAAAGAGAGGGAAAAUUUACAAUCUAAUCGUCUAAGAUUAUGGGAGGAAAGAUUGUCCUCAAAGGGCUUACAUUCCUAGGUAUUUCACUAUCUACACUACUGCCCUCUACAUUAGUAUUUACAUUACUGCUUAGGGGAGGUUUGGCGCCCUCUUGCUCAGAC